rnacentral:misc_RNA from 1 species
CGUACGGCACAUGGUUUUGUCAUUCAGCGGAGCGCAUGGGCGAUGGAUUCAACCACUGACACUACUCCCUGUUAGCUAAUCGAUUUCAUCGCCAACUUGAUCAUUAUAACCAACAAGAACACCAACAAUGUUUCGACUCUGUCUUUCCACUCCCUGCUUCUUUCGCUCGAUUCUCUGCCUUCCACAGAAGCCCUGCAACGCAUUUUACGCUAUGAGGAACCAUACGGCGUCGUUCUCUUCUUCUUCUUCUUCUU